UACAGAGGGUGCGAGCGUUGUUCGGGAAUUAUUGGGCGUAAAGAGCGCGUAGGUGGUUUGCUAAGUCUGGUGUGAAAGCCCUCGGCUUAACCGAGGAAGUGCAUUGGAUACUGGCAAGCUUGAGUGUGAGAGAGGAUUGUGGAAUUCCUGGUGUAGCGGUGAAAUGCGUAGAUAUCAGGAGGAACACCGGUGGCGAAGGCGGCAAUCUGGAUCAUAACUGACACUGAGGCGCGAAAGCGUGGGUAGCAAACAGG
rnacentral:rRNA from 1 species